rnacentral:rRNA from 1 species
UAGUCCACGCCGUAAACGAUGGAUGCUAGCUGUUUGGGGUAUCGACCCCCUGAGUAGCGAAGCUAACGCGUUAAGCAUCCCGCCUGGGGAGUACGGUCGCAAGAUUAAAACUCAAAGGAAUUGACGGGGACCCGCACAAGCGGUGGAGCGUGUUGUUUAAUUGGACGAUAAGCCAAGAACCUUACCCAGGUUUGACAUCCUCUGAAUUUCUGGGAAACCAGAGAGUGCUUUUAGAACAGAGUGACAGGUGCUGCAUGGCCGUCGCCAGCUCGUGUCGUGAGAUGUUGGGUUAAGUCCCGCAACGAGCGCAACCCUUAUAGUUAGUUGUAUUUUCUAGCUAGACUGCCUCGGUAACGGGGAGGAAGGAGGGGAUGAUGUCGGGUCCGUAUUGCCCUUACACCUGGGGCUACAAACACGCUACAAUGGCCGGUACAAUGGGCAGCCAAAUCGCAAGAUGGAGCAAAUCCCACCAAAGCCGGUCCCAGUUCGGAUAGCAGGCUGAAACUCGCCUGCUUGAAGUCGG